rnacentral:lncRNA from 1 species
UAAACUGUCUGAUUAAUAACUUAGAGCAUAAGGCAAGGCUCUGCCUGAGAAUGAAGAACCAACACUCAACUCAUUCGAUGUUCAAGUACAACUUCAACUUAAUUUGAUCAUAUAAGUUUACAUAAAACGUAUGUUUUUCAUCAUGUCAUACCUCCUAUAGCUAUUCUGAUCCUUUUGUCGUCUCACUUGCAACUUUUUCUACAGAAGUGGUAUAGGCCUCAUAACCGACAUGGAGGAAUAUAACUACUGUGUACGUACUGGCAAUCAAAGCUUCAUCCUCUUGCAUAGUGAUCAAUUUGGGCUAGCUAAAGUGCAUGGUGUGGACUGUGGAUCGAGAUCGUUAUAUGGGGUGGUACGUAGCUACUAGCUAGUGCCAAAUAGCCCAAACUACAAUAUCAGUAUUCCUUCUUUUCUUUUUUUUGGCCUGAAACAGUAUUCCUUCUUUAUAUCCUAGCUUUGUGGCCCAAACUGAUUCAUCCAUGAUCUAUGUAAAUGAGGAUGAAUCAUUGAAAAAAACUUUUGUUGCCAAGCACCGUAUCUCAUUCCUAAUCAAACUCAAUUUAUUCUUCUGAAUUUGAUAACAAUUUCCUGAUAAAUUCUAUCAGUUAAAAAAUACAGCCGAAGUUUAUAUGGGUU